UACGUAGGGGGCAAGCGUUGUCCGGAUUUAUUGGGCGUAAAGAGCGUGUAGGCGGCCGUACAGGUCAGCUGUGAAAACUCGAGGCUCAACCUCGAGACGUCGGUUGAAACCGUACGGCUAGAGUCCGGAAGAGGAGAGUGGAAUUCCCGGUGUAGCGGUGAAAUGCGCAGAUAUCAGGAGGAACACCAGUGGCGAAGGCGGUUGCCUGGGGCUGUGCUGACGCUGAUGCGCGAAAGCGUGGGGAGCGAUCCGG
rnacentral:rRNA from 1 species